rnacentral:tRNA from 1 species
GGUGUUGUGGUGUAGUUGGUUAUCACGUUUGGCUAACACACUGGAGGUCUCCGGUUCGAACCCGGGGCGAUGCCA